GUGCCAGCAGCCGCGGUAAUACGAAAGGGGCUAGCGUUGUUCGGAUUUACUGGGCGUAAAGGGCACGCAGGCGGUCUUGCCAGUCAGGGGUGAAAGCCCGGGGCUCAACCCCGGAACUGCCUCUGAUACUGCAAGACUAGAGACUAGGAGAGGGUGGUGGAAUUCCCAGUGUAGAGGUGAAAUUCGUAGAUAUUGGGAAGAAACACCCAGAGGCGGAAGGCGGCCACCUGGACUAGAUCUGACGCUCAGGUGCGAAAGCGUUGGGGAGCAAACCAGGAUUAGAUUACCCUGGUAGUCC
rnacentral:rRNA from 1 species